ensembl:lncRNA
UUUUGGAUUUCUGGCCCUGAGAACUAUUAGGAAAUACAUGUGUAUUGUUUUAAGCCACCAAAUUUGUGGCAAUUUGUUACAGCAGCCACAGGAAACCAGUAUAAUUGUCUGAGCAAGGACUCUUAAGUACUGUCCCAACUUUCUUCUUGCCCCCCCUCUCCCCAUUCAGCUCACUCCUUAAGUGUUGACUGGACUUCCACUGUGUGAAAUGCUGGGCACAUAAACACACAUACAAACAUGCUUACUUCUAUGUUUACUUCCAAAGUGUACUGAGAAUGUGGUGAUGCCAAAGGAGGCAUACGUUCUGCUUGGGGGCUGAGAAGCUGUGGGAGGGGGUUCAGGAAAAAAUCCCAGGGGAAUGGUUUUACUGCCAGGCAUGAGUCCUGCCUUUCUGCUGUACCUACUCUUCUACAGGUUCAGCCCAGGUUUCUGUCCUUGACUUACCCUUGCUCCAUGGCCCCAUCCUGCUCUCUCUCCUACCACCACACCUGGCAUUUGAUGCAUGCUUUUCCCCUAGGCUGUCCACGCAUAGCCUGGCUCCUUGGGAACCUCAUUCUUACUGACGUGCCUCAGUUGUCAUCCCUCUCCUUUCUGUUUGACAGGUUUGUAUUUCUGCCCCAAAUUCAAGUGGUACCUGACCAGACUUAUCUGGACCUCAAGAAGGGACUUUGGCUUUGGCUUCCUACUGAGGGAACAGCUCCCUCAGAGGCCCAACCAGGAUGAGGCAGAGCCUUUCAAGAGAGAUAAAGGAAAACAGGUAAGAUAAACAUGCACUGGGAAUAAAGAUUGAAAACAUUAUCUUAGAAGCA